rnacentral:rRNA from 1 species
AACAAAACUCGUAACGGUGGAUGUCUUGGCUCCCACAUCGAUGAAGAACGCAGCAAAAUGCGAAACGUAAUGCGAAUUGCAGAAUCCGUGAAUCAUCAAAUCUUUGAACGCAAGUUGCGCUCGCGGGUAAUCCUGCGAGCAUGUCUGUUUGAGUGU